AAAUUGAAGAGUUUGAUCAUGGCUCAGAUUGAACGCUGGCGGCAGGCCUAACACAUGCAAGUCGAACGGUAACAGGAAGCAGCUUGCUGCUUUGCUGACGAGUGGCGGACGGGUGAGUAAUGUCUGGGAAACUGCCUGAUGGAGGGGGAUAACUACUGGAAACGGUGGCUAAUACCGCAUAACGUCGCAAGACCAAAGAGGGGGACCUUCGGGCCUCUUGCCAUCAGAUGUGCCCAGAUGGGAUUAGCUUGUUGGUGAGGUAACGGCUCACCAAGGCGACGAUCCCUAGCUGGUCUGAGAGGAUGACCAGCCACACUGGAACUGAGACACGGUCCAGACUCCUACGGGAGGCAGCAGUGGGGAAUAUUGCACAAUGGGCGCAAGCCUGAUGCAGCCAUGCCGCGUGUAUGAAGAAGGCCUUCGGGUUGUAAAGUACUUUCAGCGGGGAGGAAGGUGUUGUGGUUAAUAACCGCAGCAAUUGACGUUACCCGCAGAAGAAGCACCGGCUAACUCCGUGCCAGCAGCCGCGGUAAUACGGAGGGUGCAAGCGUUAAUCGGAAUUACUGGGCGUAAAGCGCACGCAGGCGGUCUGUCAAGUCGGAUGUGAAAUCCCCGGGCUCAACCUGGGAACUGCAUUCGAAACUGGCAGGCUUGAGUCUUGUAGAGGGGGGUAGAAUUCCAGGUGUAGCGGUGAAAUGCGUAGAGAUCUGGAGGAAUACCGGUGGCGAAGGCGGCCCCCUGGACAAAGACUGACGCUCAGGUGCGAAAGCGUGGGGAGCAAACAGGAUUAGAUACCCUGGUAGUCCACGCCGUAAACGAUGUCUACUUGGAGGUUGUGCCCUUGAGGCGUGGCUUCCGGAGCUAACGCGUUAAGUAGACCGCCUGGGGAGUACGGCCGCAAGGUUAAAACUCAAAUGAAUUGACGGGGGCCCGCACAAGCGGUGGAGCAUGUGGUUUAAUUCGAUGCAACGCGAAGAACCUUACCUGGUCUUGACAUCCACAGAACUUUCCAGAGAUGGACUGGUGCCUUCGGGAACUGUGAGACAGGUGCUGCAUGGCUGUCGUCAGCUCGUGUUGUGAAAUGUUGGGUUAAGUCCCGCAACGAGCGCAACCCUUAUCCUUUGUUGCCAGCGAUUAGGUCGGGAACUCAAAGGAGACUGCCAGUGAUAAACUGGAGGAAGGUGGGGAUGACGUCAAGUCAUCAUGGCCCUUACGACCAGGGCUACACACGUGCUACAAUGGCGCAUACAAAGAGAAGCGACCUCGCGAGAGCAAGCGGACCUCAUAAAGUGCGUCGUAGUCCGGAUUGGAGUCUGCAACUCGACUCCAUGAAGUCGGAAUCGCUAGUAAUCGUGGAUCAGAAUGCCACGGUGAAUACGUUCCCGGGCCUUGUACACACCGCCCGUCACACCAUGGGAGUGGGUUGCAAAAGAAGUAGGUAGCUUAACCUUCGGGAGGGCGCUUACCACUUUGUGAUUCAUGACUGGGGUGAAGUCGUAACAAGGUAACCGUAGGGGAACCUGCGGUUGGAUCACCUCCUUACCUUAAAGAA
rnacentral:rRNA from 5 species